rnacentral:sRNA from 1 species
AGGGAGAAAUUCAUCUGAUGAAAGACAAGGCCAAACAUUUGGACAAAUGUUUGAAGAUGCUUGAUAUGAGCUUUAAAGAUGCUGAAUGGGGUGAAGACACCUCCUGUGAAAACCUGCUUGAUGCUUUUUCAAUAAAGUUAUCUGAGACACAUGGCUAUGGGGUACAGGAGGAAUUCACUGAGGAAAACAAAUUACUAGAGGCUUGUAUUUUCAAAAAUAAUGAACUCCUUAAAAAUAUUCAAGAUGUGCAGAGUCAAAUCAGUAAAAUUGGUCUUAAGGAUCCUACUGUUCCAGCUGUGAAACAUCGGAAAAAAUCAUUAAUCAGACUGGAUAAGGUUCUAGAUGAAUAUGAAGAAGAGAAGAGACAUUUACAAGAAAUGGCUAAUUCUCUUCCACACUUCAAAGAUGACAGAGAAAAAACCGUGAAUCAACAGUGCCAAAAUACAGUAGUCUUGUGGGAGAAUACCAAAGCCUUGGUCACCGAAUGUCUUGAACAAUGUGGAAGAGUUUUGGAGCUCUUAAAACAAUAUCAGAAUUUUAAGAGCAUCUUGACAACUUUGAUUCAAAAAGAAGAGAGUGUCAUCUCCCUGCAGGCUUCGUACAUGGGAAAGGAAAACCUGAAGAAAAGGAUAGCAGAGAUUGAAAUUGUCAAAGAAGAAUUUAAUGAGCAUUUAGAAGUUGUAGACAAGAUAAACCAGAUCUGCAAAAAUCUACAAUUUUAUCUCAAUAAAAUGAAAACUUUUGAAGAGCCCCCUUUUGAAAAAGAGGCUAAUAUUAUUGUGGAUAGAUGGCUUGAUAUAAAUGAGAAGACAGAAGAUUACUAUGAAAAUCUUGGUCGAGCUCUAGCUUUGUGGGACAAACUUUUUAACUUAAAAAAUGUCAUUGAUGAGUGGACGGAAAAGGCCCUUCAAAAAAUGGAAUUACAUCAAUUGACUGAAGAGGACAGAGAAAAGCUGAAGGAAGAAUUACAAGUCCAUGAACAAAAAACUUCAGAAUUUUCUAGAAGAGUGGCUGAAAUACAGUUUUUGCUCCAAAGCAGUGAAAUACCUCUUGAAUUGCAGGUCAUGGAGUCCUCUAUUUUGAACAAGAUGGAACAUGUACAGAAGUGCUUAACAGGAGACUCCAACUGCCAUGCACUCAGUGGCAGCACUGCUGAGCUAAGGGAGGAUCUCGACCAAGCCAAGACCCAGAUCGGGAUGACUGAAUCCCUCUUAAAAGCCCUGUCUCCUUCUGACAGCUUGGAGAUCUUCACUAAACUAGAGGAGAUACAACAGCAAAUUCUACAGCAAAAACACAGUAUGAUAUUACUUGAGAAUCAAAUAGGUUGUCUGACUCCUGAACUCUCUGAAUUGAAAAAGCAAUAUGAAAGUGUCAGUGAUUUAUUUAAUACCAAAAAAAGUGUUUUGCAAGAUCACUUUUCUAAGUUAUUGAAUGAUCAAUGCAAGAACUUUAAUGACUGGUUCAGCAACAUUCAAAUGAACCUUAAGGAGUGUUUUGAAUCAUCAGAAACAAAAAAGAGUGUGGAACAAAAGCUACAAAAACUUUCUGUAAGAGAUAUAUGUAUAUUUUUAAUAAAAAUUUUCAAUACUAAAAUACUGGAGGCAUAGAACUGUAUCAAAAUAAAUAGGGAGGCUGGGCACGGUAGCUCACACCUGUAAUCCUAGCAUUUUGGGAGGCCGAGGCUGGUGGAUUGCUUGAGCUCAAGAGUGCGAGACCAGCCUGGGUCUCGAACCUUGGUGAAAGGUUCACCAAGCUCAUGGUGAAACCUUGUCUCUACAAAAAAUACAAAAAUUAGCUGGGUGUGGCAGCAAGUACCUGUAGUCCCAGGUGAGAGGAUCGCUUGAGCCUGGGAGGAGGAGGGUGUAGUGAGCUGAGAUCAUGCCACUGCACUCCAGCACUCCAGCCUGGGCGACAGAGUGAGACCCUGUCUCAAAUAAAAAAGAGAUAGAGUAAUAAGUACUUUGACUUACUAAUAUUUUCACAUAAGAGAUAAUAUUCCCAAAUAACUUGGCCUUUUUCCAAAUAUUUAAGACUCUAUUUAUUGGGUAUGUGUACAAAUGGCUUACAGAAUCUCUACUUUUACAUAUAUUCUAAGAUGCUGUUUAGUGUCCACUGGGGAAUUCAGUUGUGUUGAAAUCAUAUUUGAUAAAAAAUAAAGACCUAAUUUGGACUUUAAAAUCCCCUUUCUUGAAAGAGGUAUUUUGACUUGUUUAUACAUCUUUUUCCAGUUAUAUUUCUUUUAAAAAUUGCUGCUGAACUUCAGUACAUUUCUGGUUGGAACGUAGUGGAGGAUAUCCUGAAAUGAAAGGCAGAGUUCACGGGGGCGUAUGAAAGGCCUGUGGUACCCUAAAAUCUUGAUCACUUUAGGGUAGACUAUCUAUUACUUUAAUGUUUUGAUGAUAAGUUAUGUUCUUAAUCUUAUCAAUGGCACUAAAUGUUCACUGUUUAAUUCCUUGCUUUGAUGGUACCAUUCUUUACUGAUAGAAUCACCCCUAUUCUAACAAUUUGAAGUCUCAUCUUUUUUUGUUUGCUUGUUUGCCUUUAAUUUUGCCCAUUGCUUGGGCCUUAACAAUUGAUGCCCAAACCUUGAAACGUAAACAUUGAGAUAAAAUUCUUAUUUGGGCAACGUUAAAUAGAGAAUAGUCUGUGGAGAAGUUGGACGCAGCCAGGAUAGGAAACUGUAGCUUUCCUGGUCUUGCUCCUGCUGAUCUUCCUGGUAGCUCUGUGUUACUUUGCUUGAUGUAAUUCCCAAGAAGUCAGAGCUAUUAUAAAUCAUCUGCCAUUGGAGAUAGCCACAUCUCCAUCACCCUUCUUUCGUAUAGGAUCUUAAGGUGGUAUGUCUGUGUACUGGUUUGGAAAAGUGUCGUGAGGGUGGCAGAGAGCACAUUCAGACUUGCCAGGAGAUUGUAAUGGACUUUCUGUCUUUCUGAAGGAUUUCUUGAGUCUUGAAGGAAGAAACAGUAAAAUAAAGCAGGUGGACAGUGUACUGAAGCAUGUGAAGAAGCAUCUGCCCAAAGCACAUGUGAAGGAGCUUACCAGUUGGCUCGUGGGUCAGGAAUUCGAAUUAGAAAAAAUGGAGUCCAUAUGCCAGGCUCGAGCAAAGGAGCUUGAAGACUCUUUGGAGCAGCUACUGAGACUCCGGGAUGACCACAGAAACCUGAGUAAGUGGUUGACUAAUCAAGAAGAGAAAUGGAAAGGAAUGGAAGAAUCAGGGGAGAAAACUGAGCUGUUCUGCCAAGCUUUAGCUAGAAAGAGGGAACAGUUUGAAUCUGUGGCCCAGUUGAACAACUCUUUGAAGGAAUAUGGGUUUACUGAAGAAGAAGAAAUAAUAAUGGAAUCAACAUGUUUGAUGGGUAGAUACCAGACAUUACUGAGACAACUAAGUGAAAUCGAGGAAGAGGAUAAGUUACCACCCACAGAGGACCAGAGCUUUAAUGAUCUUGCACAUGAUGUAAUUCAUUGGAUAAAAGAGAUUAAAGAGUCCCUUAUGGUUUUGAAUUCAUCUGAAGGCAAAAUGCCACUUGAGGAAAGAAUCCAAAAAAUCAAGGAAAUCAUUUUGCUGAAGCCUGAAGGGGAUGCCAGAAUAGAGACCAUCAUGAAGCAGGCUGAGAGCAGCGAGGCCCCGCUGAUUCAGAAGACCCUCGCUGACAUCAGCAACCAGUGGGACAACACACUCCAUUUAGCUAGCACCUACCUAAGCCAUCAAGAAAAGCUUCUACUAGAAGGAGAGAAAUAUUUACAAAGUAAGGAGGAUCUGAGAUUAAUGCUCAUAGAACUAAAGAAGAAACAGGAAGCAGGCUUUGCUCUACAACAUGGUCUGCAGGAGAAGAAAGCUCAGUUAAAGAUUUAUAAGAAAUUCCUCAAGAAAGCCCAAGAUUUGACAUCCUUGCUAAAGGAGUUAAAAUCUCAAGGAAACUACCUCUUGGAGUGCACUAAAAAUCCCAGCUUCAGUGAAGAGCCUUGGCUGGAAAUAAAGCAUCUACACGAAAGUCUUCUUCAACAACUGCAGGAUUCUGUGCAAAACUUGGAAGGUCACGUUCGAGAACAUGAUUCAUACCAGGUUUGCAUCACAGACCUGAAUACCACAUUGGACAAUUUCUCCAAGGAAUUUGUCAGUUUUUCUGAUAAGGCUGUGGAUCAAAUAGCUGUUGAGGAAAAAUUGCAGAAACUGCAGGAACUAGAGAAUAGACUCAGUUUACAAGAUGGCACAUUAAAGAAGAUUUUAGCUUUAGCAAAAUCCGUCAAGCAAAAUACAUCUUCAGUGGGGCAGAAGAUUAUUAAAGAUGAUAUAAAAUCACUUAAGUGUAAACAAAAAGAUUUGGAAAACAGCCUUGAAUCUGCUAAGCAGGAGAUGGAAUGUUGUCUCAACAGCAUUCUCAAAUCAAAAUGCUCAACAGAAAAGAAAGAAAAGUUUACUCUGCCAGGCAGAGAGAAGCAGGCCACUUCUGAUGUGCAGGAGUCUACUCAGGAAUCAGCUGCAGUGGAAAAGUUGGAGGAAGACUGGGAAAUAAACAAGGAUUCAGCUGUGGAAAUGGUUAUGUCAAAACAACUUUCUCUGAAUGCUCAAGAAAGCAUGAAAAACACUGAAGAUGAGCAGAAAGUCAAUGAGCUGCAAAAUCAACCUUUAGAAUUAGAUACUAUGUUAAGAAAUGAACAAUUAGAAGAGAUAGAGGUAUGGAAACAUAAAAACACUGACAACAUGAUUGCAUCAUUUAUCCAGUGCAAUACAAUAUAUUUUAAUUGCCAAAAACUUGCUUGUACAGAGUGAAAAGUCUUAUUUAACCUUUGCCUGAUGAUCAGUUUGGUAACUGUAUAAUUAUGUACUGAGUAAGUUGUAUAAAUCUUUCCAUUUAGAAAGUAGAAGAGUUUAAUGAACAUUAGUCUUCUUUCUAUUACACAAAGUUCCUAAAAACUUAGUGACAAAAUUUGGAGAUUUUGACUUGCCAUCAUUCCUUUUCUUACAAGUGUAUAUUCUUCUGAUUCUGACAAAUGUAUUUUUCCUAACAAUCAGUGCUAUGAGGCUCUUCCUCCUUUGUUUUUACAUCUGUGUUUACAUAGUUAUGUUUAUGUAUUUAUGUGCUUCCAGCUUGUACAGUAAUCUAAAAAUUCAAUACAUGGCCAUAUUUUAAAAAGUGAAACUGCAGCCAGACAUGGUGGCUCAUGUCUGUUAUCCCAGCACUUUGGGAGGCUGAGGCAGGGGGAUUGCCUGAGUCCAGGAGUUGGAGACCAGCCUGGGCAACAUUGCGAGACCUCAUCUCUACCAAAAAAAUACAAAAAUUAUUUGGGCAAGAUGGUGUGUGCUUGUAGUUUUAGCUACUCAGGAGACUGAGACAGGAGGAUUGCUUGAACCCAGGAGUUCAAGGUUGCAGUGAGGUGAGAUUGUGGCACUGCAUUCCAGCCUAGAUGAUGGAGCGAGAUCCUGUCUCUAAAAGAAAAACAAAACAAACAAACAAAAAAAAGCAAACUAUAAACAACCCAUGCAAUUUUAGCCAAGUUUCCACAACAGUAAACACUCAUCUAAAAUAGGAAAGAUGGGUCAUGUAUGUAAAUAAUAAAAUUAAGAUGAAUUUCCCUUUAGAUAUUGCAGAACCCUUUAAGAUAAUAGAGUGAUCUAACUGACAUUAAAUGCUGGACCAAUGGUGAAUUUUAGAAUGGAUUUUAACAUGAUUCUUGGGAAGAAAAACCUUUUAAAUAUUAAGGGUAUGGUGGCUCAUGGCUGUCAUCCCAGUCCUUUGGGAGGCUGAGGUAGGAAGAUUGUUUGAGGCCAGGAGUUCAAGACCAGCCUGGGCAAUAUAGCAAGACUCUCGGCUCU